rnacentral:rRNA from 1 species
CACAAUCACUUGUUCUUUAAAUGAGGACUAGAAUCAACGGCAUCACGAGGAUCCCACUGUCUCCCCCCUCCAAUCAGUGAAACUGAUCUCCCCGUGAAGAAGCGGGGAUACAAAUAUAAGACGAGAAGACCCCAUGGAGCUUUAAACCCAACAGCACCCGUUUAUUUUCAUCCUCACAUAAGUUAGGUUAUGCCUGUUUGGUUUUAGGUUGGGGUGACCACNGAGUAUAAAACAACCUCCNUGAAAAAAGGACCAAAAAUCCUUAUUANAGAAAGACAUUUCUAAAAUUAAUAAAUUAAUUUUUAAUGAUCC